UAGUUUCAUCUCAUGCUAGUAUCUUCACUCUAGCUUUAAAACUGAGCCAUUACAAGCAAAAAAUCGCAGGUUGCGUUAAUGUAUUAAAUAAAGUAUUGGCAUUAAAACAAAUUUGCAUUAACGCGUUAUUAUCGCAUUGACUUUGACAGCCCUAUUUAAU